rnacentral:rRNA from 1 species
UACGGGGGGGGGCAAGCGUUGUUCGGAAUUACUGGGCGUAAAGGGCUCGUAGGUGGCCAACUAAGUCGGACGUGAAAUCCCCAGGCUCAACUUGGGAACUGCGUCCGAUACUGGAUGGCUUGAAUUCGGGAGAGGGAUGCAGAAUUCCAGGUGUAGCGGUGAAAUGCGUAGAUAUCUGGAGGAAUACCGGUGGCGAAGGCGGCAUCCUGGACCGGCAUUGACGCUGAGGAGCGAAAGCCAGGGGAGCAAACGGG